rnacentral:rRNA from 1 species
UACGUAGGGUGCGAGCGUUAAUCGGAAUUACUGGGCGUAAAGCGUGCGUAGACGGUUAUGUAAGUCGGAUGUGAAAGCCCCCGGGCUUAACCUGGGAAUGGCAUUCGAGACUGCAUAGCUAGGAUGCGGAAGAGGGAAGUGGAAUUUCCGGUGUAGCGGUGAAAUGCGUAGAUAUCGGAAGGAACGCCGGUGGCGAAAGCGGCGCGCUGGACCUCUUCUGACGCUGAGGCGCGAAAGCUAGGGGAGCAAACGGG